rnacentral:rRNA from 1 species
AGAAAGAACCACCAGGGAUGCCCUAGUACGGCGAGUGAAGCGGCAACAGCUCAAAUUUGAAAUCUGGCUCUCGGGCCCGAGUUGUAAUUUGUAGAGGAUGUUUUUGAUGCGGUGCCUUCCGAGUUCCCUGGAACGGGACGCCAUAGAGGGUGAGAGCCCCGUCUGGUUGGAUGCCAAAUCUCUGUAAAACUCCUUCAACGAGUCGAGUAGUUUGGGAAUGCUGCUCUAAAUGGGAGGUAUAUGUCUUCUAAAGCUAAAUACCGGCCAGAGACCGAUAGCGCACAAGUAGAGUGAUCGAAAGAUGAAAAGCACUUUGAAAAGAGAGUUAAAAAGUACGUGAAAUUGUUGAAAGGGAAGCGUUUGUGACCAGACUUGGACUUGGUUAAUCAUCUGGGGUUCUCCCCAGUGCACUUCUCCAGUUCAGGCCAGCAUCAGUUUUCGCCGGGGGAUAAAGGCUUUGGGAAUGUGGCUCCCCUCGGGGAGUGUUAUAGCCCAUUGUGUAAUACCCUGGCGGGGACUGAGGUUCGCGCAUCUGCAAGGAUGCUGGCGUAAUGGUCAUCAACGACCCGUCUUGAAACACGGACCAAGGAGUCGUCUUCGUAUGCGAGUGUUCGGGUGUCAAACCCCUACGCGUAAUGAAAGUGAACGCAGGUGAGAGCUUCGGCGCAUCAUCGACCGAUCCUGAUGUUCUCGGAUGGAUUUGAGUAAGAGCAUACGGGGCCGGACCCGAAAGAAGGUGAACUAUGCCUGUAUAGGGUGAAGCCAGAGGAAACUCUGGUGGAGGCUCGCAGCGGUUCUGACGUGCAAAUCGAUCGUCAAUAUGGGCAUGGGGGCGAAAGACU